rnacentral:pre_miRNA from 1 species
AAUAGUCUUAUGCCACAUCAGUAUUUUUAUCUUGAAUUUCAACAUUUUUAUCUUGGAAAAAAUUAAAUCCAAAUUAAAAUAUUAAAAUUUAGGAUGAAAUUACUAAUGUGACAUAAAACUAUU